rnacentral:lncRNA from 13 species
UGGACACUGAUUUGGUCUUGUGUGAAGUGCAAUUUGCUUAAUGUCACCUGCUCUUCUGAAUUUGUUUAUAGAAGAUCAAAAAGAUGACUAUGAAGAACAGAAAUACAGAGACCGCAAAAAUAAACUUUUUUUGAGUCAAGUGGCCUACUACCUGGGCUGCCGGCAUAAGACGGAAGGUAAGUUCCAUGGGUUCACCAUCACGGAAGUGUUGAACAAUCUCCUGUCUUAUCUCUGAGAAAUUACACACUCUCGUCUUCAAAGUUAAUUUAAUCCUUUCCAUACUACUAGGAAAAUAGCAAUGGGUAUUUUAACAUUAUGGUAAAGAUGGAAGUCAGAGGCCAAGGCAUUUAGCAACGCUUCCACAUCUGCAGUAAGGUGGGUGUCGGACUAGGGUUAAUAAUGCAGCUAACGAUUCCUGACACAGGCACAGAACCACCUGUUUUUCUCAGCAAGAGACUAAAUCACGUUGUCAGGAAUUCUUUCUAACACAUAGGAUCCUUCAGAAUUUAUAAGCAAGAUAAAGGCAGAAGCGUUUAUAUCCUGGUUUCAGGGUGACUGAGUAGCUAAGACAAGUUGACUCUAAGGAGAUCAAGAGUGGAGAUAAGAAGAGUAAAAGCAGGGAAACACCAUGUGCAGUAGGCAAGGCUGUCAGGGAGAUCCCUCAGUCCUGAUUAAACCAACUUAUUGUCACCAGUUUGUAACCCAUUAUGUGUCUGGGUUUCUUCUUCCCAGUCCCCAGCUUUCUGUGUUGUGCCCAAAAAGUCAACAUGGUGGCAUCUGGCAGGCCUCCUUUUAGAAUAAACCGAGAGGUGAACGUUCCAGAAGGCAUUGAGAAAUCCGGCUCACAACAGGAAGAAAACAAACCGAAUGUCGGAGCCAGCAAAAACAGACUUCUUCUGAGCCAGGUGGCCUACUUCCAGAACUACCGGAUGAAGACAGACGAUGAUCGAAAAGAUCACGAUGAAGAACAAAAAUACAGAGACAGCAAAAAUAAACUUGUUAUGAGUCAAGUGGCCUACUACCUGGCCUGCCGGCUGAGGAUGAAAGGUGAGUUCUGUAGGUUCACCAUUACGGAAGUCCUGGACAGUGUUCUGUCUUGUCUCUGACAACUGCUCUACUCUCUUCUUCAGUCUAAUUUUAUCACUCCCAGACUUCUAGGAAGGUAGCAAUUGGUAUUUUAACAUUUUCUUAAAGACGUAACACACAGGCAAAAUUAUUUAGCAACUUUCCACAUCUGCAAUAAGACAGGUGUGAGAUUGGGUGAACAUCCCAGAUACUGAUUUCCAACACAGGAACCAAAACACC